GAUGAACGCUGGCGGCGUGCCUAAUACAUGCAAGUCGAGCGAACGGACGAGAAGCUUGCUUCUCUGAUGUUAGCGGCGGACGGGUGAGUAACACGUGGAUAACCUACCUAUAAGGCUGGGAUAACUUCGGGAAACCGGAGCUAAUACCGGAUAAUAUUUUGAACCGCAUGGUUCAACAGUGAAAGACGGUCUUGCUGUCACUUAUAGAUGGAUCCGCGCUGCAUUAGCUAGUUGGUAAGGUAACGGCUUACCAAGGCAACGAUGCAUAGCCGACCUGAGAGGGUGAUCGGCCACACUGGAACUGAGACACGGUCCAGACUCCUACGGGAGGCAGCAGUAGGGAAUCUUCCGCAAUGGGCGAAAGCCUGACGGAGCAACGCCGCGUGAGUGAUGAAGGUCUUCGGAUCGUAAAACUCUGUUAUUAGGGAAGAACAUAUGUGUAAGUAACUGUGCACAUCUUGACGGUACCUAAUCAGAAAGCCACGGCUAACUACAUG
rnacentral:rRNA from 1 species